rnacentral:rRNA from 1 species
UAGAGUUUGAUCAUGGCUCAGGAUGAACGCUAGCGGCAGGCUUAACACAUGCAAGUCGAGGGGCAUCGGGAGGGAAGCUUGCUUUCCUUGCCGGCGACCGGCGCACGGGUGAGUAACACGUAUGCAACCUGCCCUCUUCAGGGGGACAACCUUCCGAAAGGGAGGCUAAUCCCGCGUAUAUCGGUUUCGGGCAUCCGAGAUCGAGGAAAGAUUCAUCGGAAGAGGAUGGGCAUGCGGCGCAUUAGCUUGACGGCGGGGUAACGGCCCACCGUGGCGACGAUGCGUAGGGGUUCUGAGAGGAAGGUCCCCCACACUGGUACUGAGACACGGACCAGACUCCUACGGGAGGCAGCAGUGAGGAAUAUUGGUCAAUGGGAGAGAUCCUGAACCAGCCAAGCCGCGUGAGGGAAGACGGCCCUAUGGGUUGUAAACCUCUUUUGUCGGAGAACAAAACCCGGGACGUGUCCCGGACUGCGUGUAUCCGAAGAAAAAGCAUCGGCUAACUCCGUGCCAGCAGCCGCGGUAAUACGGAGGAUGCGAGCGUUAUCCGGAUUUAUUGGGUUUAAAGGGUGCGUAGGCGGUCCGUUAAGUCAGCGGUAAAAUUGCGGGGCUCAACCCCGUCGAGCCGUUGAAACUGGCAGACUUGAGUUGGCGAGAAGUACGCGGAAUGCGCGGUGUAGCGGUGAAAUGCAUAGAUAUCGCGCAGAACUCCGAUUGCGAAGGCAGCGUACCGGCGCCACACUGACGCUGAGGCACGAAAGCGUGGGGAUCGAACAGGAUUAGAUACCCUGGUA